rnacentral:rRNA from 1 species
GUGAGGAAUUUUCCGCAAUGGGCGAAAGCCUGACGGAGCAAUGCCACGUGAAGGAUGAAGGCCUAUGGGUUGUAAACUUCUUUUCUCAGAAAAGAAUUAUGACGGUAUCUGAGGAAUAAGCAUCGGCUAACUCUGUGCCAGCAGCCGCGGUAAGACAGAGGAUGCAAGCGUUAUCCGGAAUGAUUGGGCGUAAAGCGUCUGUAGGUUGUUUAAAAAGUAUUCUGUCAAAGAUUAGGGCUUAACCCUAGAUAGGCAGAAUAAACUUUUAAGCUAGAGUUUGGUAGAGGCAGAGGGAAUUCCCGGUGGAGCGGUGAAAUGCGUAGAUAUCGGGAGGAACACCAAAGGCGAAGGCACUCUGCUGGGCCAAUACUAACACUGAGAGACGAAAGCGAGGGGAGCAAAUGGGAUUAGAAACCCCGGUAGUCC